AACGCAACACCUUUUUUAAUUUUUCCUACCAACUGCUUUUCCCAGCGUUGUGCAUGAUGUAAUCAUAUUCGAAUACAGGGCAAAACAAUCUAAAGAAGCUAGGAAGCUAGAAACAAUUGAUAAUGCUACCAAUGCGCUUUGGUGUGAAUUUAUUUUUGUGCUAUAAUCAGAGCACUUAUUUGGAUGUCUGUUGCUAGAGGACAGUCGCCAGAUUUUUCGAUAAUAAUAAUAAUACAAACAAUACAACCAAUGCGAAAACGAUUAGACGGAUCUUUAUUUAGAAGAAGAGUCAUUUUAAAUUUAUGUUUGCAAAUCAAAAUCAUUUUAAAUUUUCUAUUUGUAACCGAUGCAUAAACUUUUUCUUGGUUACUCUGAUAAUAGCAUUUUAAAUAAGAAAUACUCGAACAAGCAAUUAGGAACGUGUCAAAAAUAAUAUAAUUAGUCUGCGUACGUUCUUCUUACUCAUAAACAAAAAUAGUCAUACACGAAAUUAUUUUAAAGACCUUUCUCGUGUAUUUCGCCAACGCAUGCUUACUGCACGUGAUUUAGUGAUUUUAAAUUUAAACUAUGGCAAAUCUUACAAACAAAUAUUUUUGUAGGAUUAAACAAAGUAAUCAUUUAAAAAAUGUAGAUAACUAAUCACUGCUUAAUAAUGACAGAAUAAAUUAUCUUAUGCCUUAAAUCAGGCUGGCGCCGACUCAUUACGGUUAAAGUUAAACAACCAUAAUGACAACAUCGAUAAGAAACGACCGAUGAGGAUGUUAUGUUGCCAUAGAUGACAUUUACUGACGCCGGUCAUUCCUAUCUGUUGCAGCCGCUAAGGAUUGACGCUUUUAUUUACUGUUUUACGCUAGAAAAUUCGUUCACAGUUUAUCAUCAUUUGCUGUUAGAUAGUCAACAUCAGUUAUGGAUAUUUUACUGAAAAAAUCAAACCAGUAACCAACAAUGACGGAAAAAAAAGAAAACAGCGCCAGAUAUUUUCGGCAAGGCAAACACGAUUCCUCCUAACGUAGUUGCCAAUCACGCCGUCCUACGCACGAUUAAAUUUAGAAUUUUUGUUCGCAUGCGGGAGAAAAAUAAGCGAUAUUUUCAUUCAUACAAUGUUUGUAUGUAAAAUCUCGAAUUGAUUGAAUAAGCUAAAUGCUCAUAAGUAGCAUUUUAGACAAAAUAAUGUAUACGACAGAAAAGCCCACAUUUAACAAUAUAGAGCCAACAAUUGAUUGAACGUGUAUGCAUACGAAAAGAGCUUUACAACUCCAUAUACAUAUCCGAUUACAAUAACUUUUUCGAAGUGUCUAAAUUUUUGAGAAUGCUAUAGAUUAUAUUUAAUUGCAACAUGCAUUUAAUUAUUAUUCAAAUCUAUUGUCAAGGUCAUUCUAGGUCACCUACUUUGACAUCUAAAAUCCCUGUCUCGUGGUCGGAAUGAUGUUAUUGUCGCUGCUUAAUGUUUUGGUAUCAAUCGACCACAACUUAAUAUUAUUUCGAAACUUUGUGUACGGUUGGUUGGGAAAGCUGGAUUUAAAACAAUAGUUUAUACUUACUGCUCAUUUUGUUGACUUGUUGACAAUUCUUUGCUGGUGUAAACUGAGAUGCACUUGAUGUCUCCACACUGAGAAGAUCAACCAAAGAAA